GCUUUCGUGGUGUAGUGGUCAGCACGCUCGGCGUGUAUUCGAGAAGUCCGUUGUUCGAAUCCCAGCGAAGGCC
rfam:Stegodyphus mimosarum contig96087, whole genome shotgun sequence.